rnacentral:ncRNA from 1 species
AUUAAACCUGUGAAGAGGCUAGUAAUAAUAAUUACAAUUUUAGAGAGUCAGUGGAUGGUGUAAACUGAUAUUUAGUUAUUAUGAAUCCACCUUGGAGGGACUGUGAUGAGCAGUACGGGAAACCGUUAAAUUAUUUAAGUGGAUAGAUUUUUCUAUCAAUUAGGGUGGCAACGCGGAGUCUUUCGUCCCUUUU